rnacentral:tRNA from 1 species
GGCCGGUUAGCUCAGUCAGUUGAGCAUGAUGCUAACAACACCAAGGUCAUGGGUUCGAUUCCUGUUCAGUCCC